GAAACAGCAGCAGCUGGAAGUCAAGAGGAGUGCUCUGUGGAGGAACACACCCACAGGCACCAGCAUGCCGGCAGGCCACUGACUGGCAAAACAACGCGGUGUUUGGCUGGGGCAGUCGGAGGAGCGCUCGGGCCGCCAAGCAGACCGACUCCAGGGAAAACCAUCUCCCUUCUGGCUCCCCCAUCUGCUAAGAGGCUUUGGUAAGGCUGUGAGAGCACAGAGCUGAAUUAGGGAUCUUGGACUUCAAGUUACUGACUAGCCCCAGCACUCGCCAAGCUCACAAAGAAGACAGAAACGAGGUAAACAUCCAACCAUGUUUAUGGAAGAGUUCAUCUCUCUGUCAGCAUUACGU
rnacentral:lncRNA from 1 species